GUAGUCCACGCCGUAAACGAUGAGAACUAGAUGUUAGGGGGCUUAGACCUCUUAGUAUCGCAGCAAACGCGUUAAGUUCUCCGCCUGGGGAGUACGGCCGCAAGGUUAAAACUCAAAUGAAUUGACGGGGGCCCGCACAAGCGGUGGAGCAUGUGGUUUAAUUCGAUGCAACGCGAAGAACCUUACCUACCUUUGAAUCCACGGAAUCUUGCAGAAAUGUGAGAGUGCCUUCGGGAACCGUGAGACAGGUGCUGCAUGGCUGUCGUCAGCUCGUGUCGUGAGAUGUUGGGUUAAGUCCCGUAACGAGCGCAACCCUUGUCCUUAGUUACCAGCGAGUUAUGUCGGGGACUUUAAGGAGACUGCCGGUGAUAAACCGGA
rnacentral:rRNA from 1 species